UCAAUUGACUGGUCCAGGUCUUGUGACUCGUGGUAUAGUUCUCACUCUCGGAUUUGUUAUUGCUUACAAAUGGCUAGUACAACCAGAAUUUCAAAGAAGGAAGCGGCGAGAGGCGGAAUCCUAUGCAGACUUCAUCUUCGAAAAAGAACGAGCUGAUGGACAAAGGAAGCUGUUUUUGUUGGAUAAUUGGUCCACAAAUGAGCCGAGGCCUCACUAAAGCGUUUGCCACACGACGCGAUCAGUCGCGGCAAUCAGCAACCCCAGCCUGCAACGAUCUGGCAAUGUAGUUUUAUGAUAUUAUAUGCCAUUGCACAUUCCGCGUACACCGCGGUAGUUAGCGAUCUAUUUGUGCCAUUUUACAGAAUUGGUCAGGGAUCUGUUCGGUGGUAUUUGUAUUGUUUUAAGUUUCUAUGAUAAAUAAUAAGUAAAAUCUUAGAAGUC